AGCCAAGCAGAGGCUGGCCAUGAGGGCGACAGACGGAAGCGGCCGCCCAUGA
rnacentral:hammerhead_ribozyme from 1 species